rnacentral:rRNA from 1 species
UACGGAGGGUCCAAGCGUUAUCCGGAUUUAUUGGGUUUAAAGGGUGCGCAGGCGGUUCGUUAAGUUAGAGGUGAAAUCCCGUGGCUCAACCACGGAACUGCCUCUGAUACUGGCGGGCUAGAGAGAGGUUGCUGUGGGCGGAAUGUGUGGUGUAGCGGUGAAAUGCUUAGAGAUCACACAGAACACCGAUUGCGAAGGCAGCUCACAAAGCCUCAUCUGACGCUCAUGCACGAAAGCGUGGGGAGCAAACAGGAUUAGA